rnacentral:rRNA from 1 species
UACAGAGGUCCCAAGCGUUGUUCGGAUUCAUUGGGCGUAAAGGGUGCGUAGGUGGCGUCGUAAGUCGGGUGUGAAAUCUCGGGGCUUAACUCCGAAACUGCAUUCGAUACUGCGGUGCUAGGGUACGGAAGAGGGAAGCGGAAUUUCUGGUGUAGCGGUGAAAUGCGUAGAUAUCAGAAGGAACAUCAGUGGCGAAAGCGGCUUCCUGGUCCAGUACCGACGUUCAGGCACGAAAGCCAGGGGAGCAAACGGG